rnacentral:rRNA from 1 species
AUUGAACGCUGGCGGCAGGCUUAACACAUGCAAGUCGAGCGGGGUGAUGGUGCUUGCACUAUCACUUAGCGGCGGACGGGUGAGUAAUGCUUAGGAAUCUGCCUAUUAGUGGGGGACAACAUCUCGAAAGGGAUGCUAAUACCGCAUACGUCCUACGGGAGAAAGCAGGGGAUCACUUGUGACCUUGCGCUAAUAGAUGAGCCUAAGUCGGAUUAGCUAGUUGGUGGGGUAAAGGCCGACCAAGGCGACGAUCUGUAGCGGGUCUGAGAGGAUGAUACGCCACACUGGGACUGGGACACGGCCCAGACUCCUACGGGAGGCAGCAGUGGGGAAUAUUGGACAAUGGGGGGAACCCUGAUCCAGCCAUGCCGCGUGUGUGAAGAAGGCCUUAUGGUUGUAAAGCACUUUAAGCGAGGAGGAGGCUCUUUUGGUUAAUACCCAAGAUGAGUGGACGUUACUCGCAGAAUAAGCACCGGCUAACUCUGUGCCAGCCGCCGCGGUAA